CUCAAACAGGCAACUGCUACACAAGCAGGAAACAACCCAAUCACCACCACACAUUUGAGACAAUGCUGAGAGUUGUGGGACAUUUGUUGUGUCUCUUUAUAUGCUGUCUAGGAGCUGAUGGCUUGACUGAGACACUGGUGGAACUUGGACAGAAUACAAUCAUAAACUGUUCUCUUAACAUAGAAAGUGCAUACUGGUACAUACAGCACCAACCACAGCCUCCACUGGCCAUACUCCGCUCUUUCACUAGUAGUAGUCCUGCUGCUUUUUAUUACAAUAAUAAUUAUAGACAGAAAUAUUCAUUAGAAACAGGAAAUAGUUUGUUCAUACAGAAUGUAACAGUAGAUGAUUGUGGAGUGUUCUACUGUGCAAAGAAAGAAGACCAGAGUCUCCUAUUUAGCAAUGGCGCCAGACUCAUGACCACUGACUAUCCAAACCAGACCUCCAACUACAGAUCAUCAUGGGAGAACUGUCUUCUGUCCAUUUACAGCGUUCUGAAUGUUAUUCUGAUGGUUAUGAUCCUGGUACAUAUCGUGGCCUUGGCAUGUCAGAACAGAAACUGUCUUAUAAAACUAAGACCACCUCAACAUGCAGACCAGAGAAAUCAGUGAAACAGAUCACAGCACCACCAAGAAGAUUCCAUCCCGAACUUGUAUCAAUAAUUACAAUUGCAG